rnacentral:rRNA from 1 species
CAAUAGCGUAUAUUAAAGUUGUUGCAGUUAAAAAGCUCGUAGUUGGAUUUCGGGGCAGCCUGGCUGGUCCGCCGCAAGGCGAGUACUGGUCAGCCGCCCUUCCUCUCGAAAGCCCCGACUGCUCUUUAUUGCAGUGGUCGGGUAGUUCGGGACGUUUACUUUGAAAAAAUUAGAGUGUUCAAGGCAGGCCUACGCCUGAAUACAUUAGCAUGGAAUAAUAGAAGAGGACCUCGGUCCUAUUUUGUUGGUUUCCAGGACCGAAGUAAUGAUUAAGAGGGACAGUUGGGGGCAUUCGUAUUUAAUUGUCAGAGGUGAAAUUCUCGGAUUUAUGAAAGACGAACAACUGCGAAAGCAUUUGCCAAGGAUGUUUUCAUUAA